AUGCAAGUCAGAUGCUGCCCGGACACUAGCCAUGCAGAGGCUCUCUCCGGCCAGCGGCUCUGCCUUCGCGAGCUCCGUCAGGGCCAUGGCGUUCGCCCUCAGCUCCCUCCAUGCUGCUCCACGCGCCGCUACAGCUCUGUCCUCUCACAACUCCUCACCAUCUUCGCCUCAUCAUGCUGCUGCUGCAGUCCAUGGCGUGCCUCGUCCACACCAACGCCGGGUGGCUCCUCCGCCCGCCGGCUUUGGCCUCCCGCUCACUGCGUUGGCUCCUCUCGCGAGCACGCCCGCGCCGGCUGCGCCCGGGGCGCUCUCCCGCUCCGCUCCGCGCCGCCUCCCCCGCACAUUCAGGUGUGCCCCGACGUGGGUUGGCUCCCCUACUUCGACCACCAAGACACCCAAGAUCGCCUGCACGGACAUACCUCGACCGGCUGCCCGUCCGCCUCGUCGCCGCUCCGGACCGCCCCCGAGCCCGGCCUCUUCCUGCGCCUGCCGGCUCCCGCCCGCUCGACCGGCUCCCGCAGGCCGGCUUCGCCUCGCCUCGGCCGCCUUCGCGCCGACCCGGCCCCCGUUCCGGGCUUCCUCGGCCGCGCAGUCAUGCGCCGACCCGGCGCCUGCUUUCCCGCCGCCUGCUGCCCCCGCGCGCCCGCCGGCUCGCCGUCGUCGCGCCUGUCCGGCUCGUCGCUGGCCGGGUCCUCUGCACCGGCUCUAGCACGCGCCGGGUCCCCCGGGAUGGGUCCUCUGCCCCGGCUGACCGCGCGCCAGUCCUCCGCUCCGGCUCGCCCGGUCGUCGGGUGCGCCGUCCCGCGGCCCGGACUCCGCGCGUCUGCGCCCCCGCGUCAAGCCGCCGUCUCCGUGCAAUUCCCUGCGCCGUCGUCGCGAUCCCGUCCGUCUCUGCCUCCGCCCGCGGCCGGGUCGCGCCUGCCGGGUCUGGCCCUGCACCGGCUCCCCGCGCCCAUGCGCGUCCCGGCGCCACCUGCUUCCCCGCUGCCGGCCUCCCCUGCCUGGCCGCGUCCGGCCUCAUCCGGCCUCAUCCGGCUUCCCCACCGUCCCGGCCAGCCUCUGCUGCCUCGCCCCUGGUCGGCUCCGUCCGGCGUCCCGCGACCCGGCCGCCGGCUCCCAGCGCCCGUCCGGCUCGCCUUUUGCCGCGCCCCGGCCGCCGGCUUGCCCGCAACCCGGCCGCCGGCUUCUACCGCGAGCUGGCCGCCGGCUUCUGCCGCGUCCCGCUCCUGCCUGCUGCGCGUGCAGAGAAGGAAAGAGAAAGAACCCGGCUGGUCAAGCGGGAUGUGUAAAAAAAAGGGUGACCGGUUGAGAUGGCCGGCUACCGGAGAGUCGGCUGCCCCAGAGUCGGCUAGAAUAAAAGAAAAUAUAAAAAAAAUGUGCGUCUGA
rnacentral:rRNA from 1 species